rnacentral:rRNA from 1 species
UACGUAGGGUGCGAGCGUUGUCCGGAAUUAUUGGGCGUAAAGAGCUCGUAGGCGGUCUGUCGCGUCGGUCGUGAAAACUUGGGGCUUAACCCUGAGCUUGCGGUCGAUACGGGCAUGACUGGAGUUCGGUAGGGGAGACUGGAAUUCCUGGUGUAGCGGUGAAAUGCGCAGAUAUCAGGAGGAACACCAAUGGCGAAGGCAGCUCGCUGGGACGUGACUGACGCUGAGACGCGAAAGCGUGGGGAGCAAACAGG